UACGUAGGGUGCAAGCGUUGUCCGGAAUUAUUGGGCGUAAAGAGCUCGUAGGCGGUUUGUCGCGUCUGCUGUGAAAACUGGAGGCUCAACCUCCAGCCUGCAGUGGGUACGGGCAGACUAGAGUGCGGUAGGGGAGAUUGGAAUUCCUGGUGUAGCGGUGGAAUGCGCAGAUAUCAGGAGGAACACCGAUGGCGAAGGCAGAUCUCUGGGCCGUAACUGACGCUGAGGAGCGAAAGCAUGGGGAGCGAACAAG
rnacentral:rRNA from 1 species